rnacentral:rRNA from 1 species
GACGAACGCUGGCGGCGUGCCUAAUACAUGCGAGUAGAACGCUGAAGAGAGGAGCUUGCUCUUCUUGGAUGAGUUGCGAACGGGUGAGUAACGCGUAGGUAACCUGCCUUGUAGCGGGGGAUAACUAUUGGAAACGAUAGCUAAUACCGCAUAACAAUGGAUGACACAUGUCAUUUAUUUGAAAGGGGCAAUUGCUCCACUACAAGAUGGACCUGCGUUGUAUUAGCUAGUAGGUGAGGUAAUGGCUCACCUAGGCGACGAUACAUAGCCGACCUGAGAGGGUGAUCGGCCACACUGGGACUGAGACACGGCCCAGACUCCUACGGGAGGCAGCAGUAGGGAAUCUUCGGCAAUGGGGGCAACCCUGACCGAGCAACGCCGCGUGAGUGAAGAAGGGUUUCGGAUCGUAAAGCUCUGUUGUAAGUCAAGAACGGGUGUGAGAGUGGAAAGUUCACACUGUGACGGUAGCUUACCAGAAAGGGACGGCUAACUACGUG